UAGGGAAUCUUCGGCAAUGGGGGGAACCCUGACCGAGCAACGCCGCGUGAGUGAAGAAGGUUUUCGGUUCGUAAAACUCUGUUGUUAGAGAAGAACAGCGCAUAGAGUAACUGUUAUGCGUGUGACGGUAUCUAACCAGAAAGCCACGGCUAACUACGUGCCAGCAGCCGCGGUAAUACGUAGGUGGCAAGCGUUGUCCGGAUUUAUUGGGCGUAAAGCGAGCGCAGGCGGUCAAUUAAGUCUGAUGUGAAAGCCCCCGGCUCAACCGGGGAGGGUCAUUGGAAACUGGUUGACUUGAGUGCAGAAGAGGAGAGUGGAAUUCCAUGUGUAGCGGUGAAAUGCGUAGAUAUAUGGAGGAACACCAGUGGCGAAGGCGACUCUCUGGUCUGUAACUGACGCUGAGGUUCGAAAGCGUGGGUAGCAAACAGG
rnacentral:rRNA from 1 species